rnacentral:tRNA from 1 species
UUAAAGUGGCAGAAUUGAAUGCGGGGAAUUUAAGCUUCCUUUAUGGAGUUUCCUUUAUCA